GGCAGGAUGCCCCACUAUAUGGGGCCCAAUGGGGUCAGAUAGGUGGGGGGCUAUAGGAAUCUAUGGGGCUCUAUGGGGUCAAUGGGGGCUAUGGGCGUAGGCGCCUUUACGCAGCAGGUCCUCGAUCUCCUUCUUGGAGAACUGAUGGAUCUAUGGGGCAAUAUGUGGGGCAGGAUGACCCUAUAGGGCCCUAUGGGGUCAAUAUGGGGGCUAUAGGACUCUAUGGGGCUCUAUGGGGUCAAUGGGGGCUAUGGGCGUAGGCGCCUUUAACGCAUAGGGUCCUCGAUCUCCCUUCUUGGAAACUGAAUGGAUCUAUGGGG
rnacentral:lncRNA from 1 species